rnacentral:rRNA from 1 species
UGGUUAACAGAGACAAACGGGGGCAUUUGUAUGGCCCCGUGAGAGGUGAAAUUCUUGGACCGUGGCCAGACAAACUACAGCGAAAGCAUUUGCCAAGAAUGUCUUCAUUAAUCAAGAACGAAAGUCAGAGGUUCGAAGGCGAUCAGAUACCGCCCUAGUUCUGACCGUAAACGAUGCCAACUAGCGAUCCGCCGAUGGAUUUCAUUGCCUUGGUGGGGAGCUUCCCGGAAACGAAAGUCUUCCGGUUCCGGGGGAAGUAUGGUUGCAAAGCUGAAACUUAAAGGAAUUGACGGAAGGGCACCACCAGGAGUGGAGCCUGCGGCUUAAUUUGACUCAACACGGGGAAACUCACCCGGCCCGGACACUGUGAGGAUUGACAGAUUGAUAGCUUUUUCAUGAUUCAGUGGAUGGUGGUGCAUGGCCGUUCUUAGUUCGUGGAGUGAUUUGUCUGGUUUAUUCCGAUAACGAGCGAGACUCUAACCUACUAAAUAGCUAUUACAUAUUUAAAGUGUAUUUGGCUUCUUAGAGGGAUUUGCGGCGCUCAGCCGAAAGAAAUUGAGCAAUAACAGGUCUGUGAUGCCCUUAGAUGUCCGGGGCUGCACGCGCGCUACACUGGCAAAAUCAACGUGCUUGUCCUACCCUGAAAGGGGUGGGUAAACCAUUGAAAAUUUGCCGUGAUUGGGAUCGGAAAUUGCAAUUAUUUUCCGUGAACGAGGAAUUCCAAGUAAGUGCGAGUCAUCAGCUCGCGUUGAUUACGUCCCUGCCCUUUGUACACACCGCCCGUCGCUGCCCGGGACUGAGCCAUUUCGAGAAAUUUGGGGACCGUUGAU